rnacentral:misc_RNA from 1 species
GGAAUCUUCCACAAUGGGCGAAAGCCUGAUGGAGCAACGCCGCGUGGGUGAAGAAGGUCUUCGGAUCGUAAAACCCUGUUGUUAGAGAAGAAAGUGCGUGAGAGUAACUGUUCACGUUUCGACGGUAUCUAACCAGAAAGCCACGGCUAACUACGUGCCAGCAGCCGCGGUAAUACGUAGGUGGCAAGCGUUAUCCGGAUUUAUUGGGCGUAAAGGGAACGCAGGCGGUCUUUUAAGUCUGAUGUGAAAGCCUUCGGCUUAACCGGAGUAGUGCAUUGGAAACUGGGAGACUUGAGUGCAGAAGAGGUGAGUGGAACUCCAUGUGUAGCGGUGAAAUGCGUAGAUAUUUGGAAGAACACCAGUGGCGAAAGCGGCUCUCUGGUCUGUAACUGACGCUGAGGUUCGAAAGCGUGGGUAGCAAACAGGA